rnacentral:rRNA from 1 species
UACGGAGGAUCCAAGUGUUAUCCGGAUUCAUUGGGUUUAAAGGGUGCGUAGGCGGAAUAAUAAGUCAGUGGUGAAAGCCCUUCGCUUAACGAAGGAACUGCCAUUGAUACUGUUAAUCUUGAGUACAUUUGAUGUGGGCGGAAUGUGUCAUGUAGCGGUGAAAUGCUUAGAUAUGACACAGAACACCGAUUGCGAAGGCAGCUCACAAAACUGUAACUGACGCUGAGGCACGAAAGCGUGGGUAUCAAACAGG